UCUGGCGGCAGUAGCGCGGUGGUCCCACCUGACCCCAUGCCGAACUCAGAAGUGAGACGCCGUAGCGCCGAUGGUAGUGUGGGGUCUCCCCAUGCGAGAGUAGGGAACUGCCAGAC
rnacentral:rRNA from 1 species